rnacentral:rRNA from 1 species
CAAAGGAAUAGACGGGGGCCCGCACAAGCGGAGGAACAUGUGGUUUAAUUCGAUGAUACGCGAGGAACCUUACCCGGGCUCGAACGGUGCAUGAAUAUACGAGAGAUUGUAUAGUCCUUCGGGACAUGUAUCGAGGUGCUGCAUGGUUGUCGUCAGCUCGUGCCGUGAGGUGUCGGCUUAAGUGCCAUAACGAGCGCAACCCUUGUCAUUAGUUGCCAUCAGGUCAAGCUGGGGACUUUAAUGAGACUGCCACCGUAAGGUGUGAGGAAGGGGGGGAUG